UCUUCGUAGGCUCAAGGCCAGCCCUACAGUAGGACCCCAAUACCCCACUCAGCCUUCUCAUUGUCUCUUGUCCCCUUUUCAGAAACAGUCUAAGAAAACAGGAGCUCUGCUAGGGCACCCGAUCUCCUCCCGUCUCCAAGCUAGCAAACCCAUCUCGUACCUCCUGCUCUACUCGAGUUUCUAGAACUGUAAUACCCCCUUAGUUAGGGUCUGCUUGCUUUUGGUACUCAAAUAGAGAUGGAGGAAAUUCUGGGAGUAGGCCUGGUGGUAGCAGUGGUGCAGCUUAUGGGACCUGUUUGUGUGCCUCUCAGGAGCAUUCUGGCCCUAGUGCCUAUUGAAAUCUCUCGCUCUAGGAGUUCUUCUUUUGUUUAUCUGUAAACCUUGUUGUUUCUGUUUUGGCUAUGGCAUGGUUAUAUGCCUAGAAAUCCUUGCAAGUACAUUCUUGGAUGACUGUAACAGUUGGGUUUUUAUGUAUGUUGAUCCAAAUCUGAUUGCUCUUUAUUAUGACUGUGUGAUGUUUU